UAUAUUAUAGUCAAUUAAUAUGACAUUAGGCUGCAAUUCUAAAAGAAUAUUUUUAUAUUAAUAUAU
rnacentral:tRNA from 1 species